rnacentral:rRNA from 1 species
GAUGAACGCUGGCGGCGUGCCUAAUACAUGCAAGUCGAACGAAACUUCUUUAUCACCGAGUGCUUGCGCUCACCGAUAAAGAGUUGAGUGGCGAACGGGUGAGUAACACGUGGGCAACCUGCCCAAAAGAGGGGGAUAACACUUGGAAACAGGUGCUAAUACCGCAUAACCAUAGUUACCGCAUGGUAACUAUGUAAAAGGUGGCUAUACUACCGCUUUUGGAUGGGCCCGCGGCGCAUUAGCUAGUUGGUAGGGUAAAGGCUUACCAAGGCAAUGAUGCGUAGCUGAAUUGAGAGGUUGAUCGGCCACAUUGGGACUGAGACACGGCCCAAACUCCUACGGGAGGCAGCAGUAGGGAAUCUUCCACAAUGGGCGAAAGCCUGAUGGAGCAACGCCGCGUGGGUGAAGAAGGUCUUCGGAUCGUAAAACCCUGUUGUUAGAGAAGAAAGUGCGUGAGAGUAACUGUUCACGUUUCGACGGUAUCUAACCAGAAAGCCACGGCUAACUACGUG